AAGUCUGACUGUUAGCUAAAAUCUGGCCUUAAGAUUCUCAAACCCUAGAGAGGAGAGACAGAAGCAGAUAAACCUGCAGUUCAAAGCUCGAAGCAAUUUUCCUUCAAAAGCAACACUUUUGAAGCAGACUGUUUCUUUGUUCUGGAAAUACCAUCCAAAUAUACAGUUUUACUAGGUAGGUGUGAGGACUGGCAGAUGGCAGGAAGGACAGCAAGGCAAUAAGAAGGGAGCAGGGCAGGGCUGGGGGAAGCUGACAUUGCACAUUGUUCUGUAGAAGUGCGAACAGCUCAGACAGACAUGGAGCAAUCUCCCUGCUGGUGGUCUGGUCACGGAGGAGUCUAAACACGAAGCCCACAUGCUAAGCAUAGGGGGAAGAUGGCCUGCCUGAGGACAGAGGCACCUCCCACAGGGGGUUUCUGAGAAUGGGCCAGGCUUGGAAUCCUUGAGACAGCC
rnacentral:lncRNA from 1 species